UACGGGGGGGGCAAGCGUUGUUCGGAAUUACUGGGCGUAAAGGGCUCGUAGGUGGCCAACUAAGUCAGACGUGAAAUCCCUCGGCUUAACCGGGGAACUGCGUCUGAUACUGGACGGCUUGAGUUUGGGAGAGGGACGCGGAAUUCCAGGUGUAGCGGUGAAAUGCGUAGAUAUCUGGAGGGACACCGGUGGCGAAGGCGGCGUCCUGGACCAACACUGACACUGAGGAGCGAAAGCCAGGGGAGCAAACGGG
rnacentral:rRNA from 1 species